rnacentral:rRNA from 1 species
CCACCCUCCAAGGCUAAAUACACUUGGCGACCGAUAGUGAACAAGUACCGUGAGGGAAAGGUGAAAAGUACCCCGGUGAGGGGAGUGAAAUAGAACCUGAAACCAUAAACCUACAAACAGUUGAAGGGCUAAUGGCGUGUCGGUGCUCCGGAGAAAUCCGGGUGCGCGGCGCUAGGCCUGACAGCGUGCCUCUUGGAGAAUGAGCCUGCGAGUUAAUCUCUGUGGCAAGGUUAAGGGAGCGAUACCCGGAGCCGUAGCGAAAGCGAGUCUGAAUAGGGCGAAGAGUCGCAGGGAUUAGACCCGAAACCGGGUGAGCUACCCAUGGCCAGGGUGAAGCGAGUUUAGUCGCUCGUGGAGGCCCGAACCUACUAACGUUGCAAAGUUAGGGGAUGAGCUGUGGGUAGAGGUGAUAUGCCAAACGAACUCGGAUAUAGCUGGUUCUCCCCGAAAUAGCUUUAGGGCUAGCGCUAUUUGUUCAGCGAUGGAGGUAGAGCACUGAAUGGGCUAAGGGGCUUAGUGCUUACUGAACCCAAUCAAACUCCGAAUGCCAUCGCUCCAGAGAAUAGCAGUCGGACUACGGGAGAUGAGUUUCGUGGUCGAAAGGGAAACAGCCCAGAUCAUCGGCUAAGGUCCCCAAAUUCAAGCUGAGUGGGAAACGAUGUGGGGUUACAUGAACAACCAGGAGGUUGGCUCAGAAGCAGCCACCCUUUAAAGAGUGCGUAAUAGCUCACUGGUCUAGUGAUCCUGCGCGGAAAACUUAACGGGGCUAAGCUUGAUACCGAAGCCAUGGGAUUGCGCCUAGUGCGUGAUCGGUAGGGGAGCGUUCUGUUUGCAGAGAAGGUCGACCGGAAGGACGGCUGGAGCGGACAGAAGUGAGAAUGCAGGCAUGAGUAGCGUAAAACACGUGAGAACCGUGUUCGCCGUAUGUCUAAGGUUUCCGACGCCAGGUCAGUCCGCGUCGGGUUAGUCGGGUCCUUAGCCGAGGCCGCAAGGCGUAGGUGAUGGACAGCCGGUCAACAUUCCGGCACCACUUGUGUGGAGCUAUGGGGGGACGCAGCGAGGUAGACCAGCCUGCGAUUGGUUGUGCAGGUGUCUGCGGUGUCAGACGUUGAGAGCGGUAGGCAAAUCCGCCGCUUGAGUUGAGACCGUGGAGCGUGUCUUCAAGGCUAAAGUGAGUUAAGCCUUGCUGCCCAGAAAAGCCCCUACGCGAUGAAGCACGAGUGCCCGUACCGCAAUCCGACACUGGUAGACGGGUAGAAUAUACCAAGGCGAACGGGGAAACCCUCGUUAAGGAAUUAGGCAACAUAGCCCCGUAACUUCGGGAGAAGGGGUGCCUGUUCGGGUGAAUGCAUAAUGAGCCUGGACGGGUCGCAGUGAAAUGGUUCUAGUGACUGGUUACCAAAACCACAGGUCUCUGCUAAGCCGAAAGGCGAAGUAUAGGGGCUGACGCCUGCCCAGUGCCGGAAGGUUAAAGGGAGAGGUUAGCGCAAGCGAAGCUUUGAACUGAAGCCCCGGUGAACGGCGGCCGUAACUAUAACGGUCCUAAGGUAGCGAAAUUCCUUGUCGGGUAA